AUGGAGCCGACCUUGAAAUACCACCCUUUAAUGUUUGAUGUUCUAACGUUGACCCGUAAUCCGGGUUGCGGACAGUGUCUGGUGGGUAGUUUGACUGGGGCGGUCUCCUCCUAAAGAGUAACGGAGGAGCACGAAGGUUGGCUAAUCCUGGUCGGACAUCAGGAGGUUAGUGCAAUGGCAUAAGCCAGCUUGACUGCGAGCGUGACGGCGCGAGCAGGUGCGAAAGCAGGUCAUAGUGAUCCGGUGGUUCUGAAUGGAAGGGCCAUCGCUCAACGGAUAAAAGGUACUCCGGGGAUAACAGGCUGAUACCGCCCAAGAGUUCAUAUCGACGGCGGUGUUUGGCACCUCGAUGUCGGCUCAUCACAUCCUGGGGCUGAAGUAGGUCCCAAGGGUAUGGCUGUUCGCCAUUUAAAGUGGUACGCGAGCUGGGUUUAGAACGUCGUGAGACAGUUCGGUCCCUAUCUGCCGUGGGCGCUGGAGAACUGAGGGGGGCUGCUCCUAGUACGAGAGGACCGGAGUGGACGCAUCACUGGUGUUCGGGUUGUCAUGCCAAUGGCACUGCCCGGUAGCUAAAUGCGGAAGAGAUAAGUGCUGAAAGCAUCUAAGCACGAAACUUGCCCCGAGAUGAGUUCUCCCUGACCCUUUAAGGGUCCUGAAGGAACGUUGAAGACGAC
rnacentral:rRNA from 1 species